GGGGAUUUAGCUCAGUGGUAGAGCGUUUGCCUAGCAAGCACAAGUUCCUGGGUUUGGUCCCCAGCUCCA
rfam:Rattus norvegicus chromosome X, whole genome shotgun sequence.